rnacentral:rRNA from 1 species
CUACGUGCCAGCAGCCGCGGUAAUACGUAUGUCACAAGCGUUAUCCGGAUUUAUUGGGCGUAAAGCGCGUCUAGGUGGUUAUGUAAGUCUGAUGUGAAAAUGCAGGGCUCAACUCUGUAUUGCGUUGGAAACUGCAUGACUAGAGUACUGGAGAGGUAAGCGGAACUACAAGUGUAGAGGUGAAAUUCGUAGAUAUUUGUAGGAAUGCCGAUGGGAAGCCAGCUUACUGGACAGAUACUGACGCUAAAGCGCGAAAGCGUGGGUAGCAAACAGGAUUAGAUACCCUGGUAGUCCACGCCGUAAACGAUGAUUACUAGGUGUUGGGGGUCGAACCUCAGCGCCCAAGCUAACGCGAUAAGUAAUCCGCCUGGGGAGUACGUACGCAAGUAUGAAACUCAAAGGAAUUGACGGGGACCCGCACAAGCGGUGGAGCAUGUGGUUUAAUUCGACGCAACGCGAGGAACCUUACCAGCGUUUGACAUC